rnacentral:rRNA from 1 species
CAGUAGCCGCGGGAAUACGUAGGGUGCAAGCGUUAAUCGGAAUUACUGGGCGUAAAGCGUGCGCAGGCGGUUAUAUAAGACAGAUGUGAAAUCCCCGGGCUCAACCUGGGAACUGCAUUUGUGACUGUAUAGCUAGAGUACGGCAGAGGGGGAUGGAAUUCCGCGUGUAGCAGUUAAAUGCGUAGAUAUGCGGAGGAACACCGAUGGCGAAGGCAAUCCCCUGGGCCUGUACUGACGCUCAUGCACGAAAGCGUGGGGAGCAAACAGGAUUAGAUACCCCUGUAGUCCCUGUCUCUUAUAC